ensembl:snoRNA
AGCGAGGCUAGAGUCACACCCCGACACUGACUUGUUGUCUUGGUGUGCUAGAGCACUCGUAGAAUAACAGAUCUCUGCUUAUUCAUUGGCUGCAGUCUGAUGUGAUCCAGUCAAUCACCAGCUCAGAUACAACU